ensembl:lncRNA
CCACCCCAUGUUCAAGGCUAUGUGCCACAGCAGGCAAGACAGACCAUUGCUGCCCACGUGGACUUUACGGUCCAGCCAGGACAACAGAGGUGAAUAAGUAAUGCACCAAUAGCAAACAUUUGUUGAGUGCUUACUGCAUGCCAGAUGCUGUGCGAAGCACUUUUCAAAGAUUACCUUAUUUAAUCCUUACAGCAAGGCUGUGAGGAAGCUACUGUUGUACCCAUUUUACAUAUGGGGAAACUGAGGCUUAGCAGGGUUUACCUCCCUGGCACAAGUGUGGUUAUGGCUUGAGUGCAGGUAGCAUGACUCAGUCUGCAGCUGUGAUCACUCUGCUGCUUCCCCCACCCCCACAAUGUGGGAAAGACUGCAGGGCAUCCCAGAACCCAGAUGGUGUGAAGGCACUUUUAAGAUCCAUGAUCCACCACCUUAGUCCUCUUCUCGCAAUCAGAAGUCCCAGGUCCCGUCCACACCCAAGGGGAGAAGAUGGCAUUAGGGCCUGAGCACCAGGAAGCCACCCUCAUGGGCCCUGAGGGAUCUGUCCACCACCAUUUCUUUCUUUUUUAAAAAGUACAUAUUUUAUUUAUUUGGCUGCCCCAGGUCUUUGUUGGGGCAUGUGGGAUCUUUAGCUGCAGGAUGUGGAAACUAGUUUCCCAACCAGGGACUGAACUGAAGCCCCCUGCAUUGGGAACUUGGAGUCUUAGCCACUGGACCACCAGGGAAGUCCCCCCAACCAUUUCUAAUUCUAUUUGUGGGCCUUUUGUCCUCAUAGUUUCUUGUCAUGCCAGCUAUUUACAAUUUUUUUUAAGUUAGGACACUAGCAGCAUUUCUGACAUUUUUUCCUGAUCCCCCUGGAUUUUGAGGACCUGCCCUCUGGGCCAUUCAUAUCGUCAUGGCUGUUUCCAUGGUUAAAUGGUCCCAGGAAUUUUCUAAAAGAGAAAUGGAGCCGCGGGAGUUUGAGGCAGAGUCAGCAGAGAGAAGGGCCAAGCCCAGGGAGGAAUUCAGACAUUUAAUCAAAAUCUGAAGUUCACCCAUCUCUUCUUGUUCCUUUAUCCAUCCAUUUAUGUGUCCCUGAUCCUGGCUCGCUUGGUGAGCCCCUUCUGGGUCAUGUGCUCAGCUCUUCACCAGUCCCCUCGCUGAAUCCAGGGCAGAGUUAACAAGAGGAGAGGGUGGGAUGCCCUCUGCCUGGGAACGUGGGCGGGGGGACCAGCCUGGAGUUCACUGUGGGGACAGGCGGACAAAGGGAACAGUAUGUUUCUUAAAGCAGAAUAAAUACCAUUUUACCUUCUGUUAGCCAGAUCAUCACUCUGAAGAUGCAAGGCUGUGCUGUGUAGUAUGGAAUCAUGGCCUGAAGGCCCCAGCCUCAGGGCUCCUGGCUCUUUUAUUUUUUAUUCAUUUUUUAAAUUGGAGUAUAAUUGUUUUACAAAGUUGCAUUAGUUUCUGCUGUAGAGCAAAGUGAAUCAGCUAUAUGUGUACUCAUAUCCCCUCCCUCUUGAACCUCUCUUUCACCCCCACCCCUUCCCACCCCUCUAGGUCUUCACCGAGCCCGGAGCCGUGCUCCCUUUGCUCUUUUUAAGUGUUGGUGAGUGUGUCUUGGAGCAUCUCCACUUCUUCUGCUCUGCACCCCUCAUUUGUCUCUGCUUGGUGUCACCAGUGAAUCCAGUUUCAGCAAACCUUUUCCUGCCGUCUGAGUGGCUGCUUCUAAAUUACUGUGGGGCACGAAACCCCCCUAUAUCUGAUUACAUUGUGUGUAAAGUGUUAGUCACUCAGAGUCAGACACAACUGAGUGGCUAAGUACAGCACAGCACAGAGCUAACCCUGGGUUGGGAAGAUC